UUUUUCCAGAGUGUCUUGGCUUUCCAUGCCUAAAAUACUCUCAUGGGCUCUUCAGGCAUAUCUGAAUGCCUUGAGGGCUGAUUCUGAGGCCAGAGUGCUAUUUAGGACAUCUGCCAUUCUAUGAGUCUGCUGUGUAUCCCGCUUCCCAUGUUGGAUCGUUCUCUCCCUUUUUGAUUCUAUCAGUCAGUAUUAGCAGACACUAGUCUUGUUUGUGUGAUCCCUUUGACUCUUAGACCUAUCAGUGUGAUAAUUGUGAACUGAAGUUGAUCACUUGGACUAGUGAGAUGGCAUGGGUACAUGCCACCUUGAUGGGACUGUACUGGAAUCCCCUGGCACAUUUCUAACUCCACCAUUUGGGGCAAGUCUGAUUGAGCAUGUCCCAAAUUGUACAUCUCCUCCCUCUCUUAUUCCCACUCUUAUAUUUAACAGGGAUCACUUUUCAGUUAAAAUUUAAACACCUAAGAAUAAUUGUGUGUUAAUUACAGAGUUCAACCAAUAGUACUAGAACAAAAAAAAUACUAAAAUGGAUAAAGUAUUACAUUGUACAUCAACAGUCAGGACAAGAGCUGAUCAAGUCACUGUUUCUCAUAGUGUCCAUUUCACUUCAACAGGUUUCCCCUUUGGUGCUCAGUUAGUUGUCACAGAUCAGGGAGAACAUAUGAUAUUUGUCCCUUUGGGACUGGCUUAGUUCACUCAGCAUGAUGUUUCCAGAUUCCUCCAUCUUGUUGCAAAUGAUGCGGUUUCAUUGUUUUUGACUGCUGUAUAGUAUUCUAUAGAGUACAUGUCCACAUUUUUAAAAAAGAUUUAUUUAUUUAUUUGAAAGGCAGAGUUACAGAGAGAGAGAGAAGAGAAACAGAGCGAGAUCUUCCAUCUGCUGGUUCACUCACAAAUGGCCGCAAUGGACAGAUCUGGGCCAGGCCAAAGCUAGGAGCCAAGAGCUUCUUCAGGGUCUCCCAGGCAUAGAGACCAAGGAGACACAGACAAAGUGAUCUUCCAUUUGCCAGUUCACUCCUCAAAUGUCCCCAACAGCUGGAUCUGAGGUUGGUUGGGACCCAACUACUUGAACCACUUGUAUCUCCCAGAGUGUACAUUAGCAGAAAACUGGAACAGGAAGUGAAGUUAGGACUCGAACCCAAGCACUCUGACGUGGAUACAGGCACGACAAAGAGGCAUCUUCACCACCAGUUUCCAACUUAUUCCACCUUCCCUGAGAAGGACUGUUCCGCCCACGUGAGAACCAUCCAACUCGUGAGGCCUCCCAAGGUGAUGCAGAACCCCCGGGUCUAAGGGGUGGAUUCCACAGCAAAUCCUACCCAUCUCCUGCCUGAAACGCUGUGCUUCUCCCAAGGCCCUUUCAGGAGUGCAUUGCCUCCUUUUCCUGUAUGAUUGGGGCGUGCUUCCCGCACCAAUUCCAUCCGAGGCACAGCUGUGUCCUGGCCAAGCUCUGUCCCCGCAGGAGAACAGAGUCAGCCUGAGAAGUGAGUCAGGGCCAAGCAUGACUGCAGCAAGCUGCAGGGGGCCGAGCGCUCCUAAUGAGGCUGGGGUGCAGCCUUACUGAACGGUAGGUUAUUACUGCUGUGAAGUCACCUAGACGGCCUCUGCCAGGCCUCAGUUCUCGGCUGUUUGCAAGGUGCAGCGUUACUUUUCAACAGCUGAGGACUCAAACAGAGGACACUUCUACCCCAAAACCCUCCAACUUCCCCUUCCAUGGGUAAUGAUGUCAACCCACAGGUUGCUAACGACCCAGGGAAGCUCCUGGCAACAAACACUGGAUUAAAACCACAACUUCUUCAUGUUGGGAAUAAAGGUGUCAGAGCAAAUGCAAAAUCCUGCAUUGUGCUUUCUGCAAAAGGCCCCCAAUUCAUAAACCAGUAACAUUGCCCGCCUGGAACAGUCAUUGGCUAAUUCUUUUUAGGCAACUGAGAGAACAUUCUAGAGUCAAUUCUUUAU